AUACUUACCUGGCAGGGGCGAUACCAUGAUCACGAAGGUGGUUCACCCAGGCUGAGGCUCUGCCAUUGCACUUGGGUGGUGCUGACCCUUGCGAAUUCCCCAAAUGCGGGAAUCUCGACUGCAUAAUUUCUGGUAGUGGGGGACUGCGUUCGCGCUCUCCCCUG
rnacentral:snRNA from 1 species